CUGACUUGUUUCCUGAGGAAGGGAACAGGAAUCAUUUAUCUAGUGUUUGGGAAAACCCAAUGUCAAGCACAGACAUGCCCUGCCUCUGACUGAGGAGCCAGGCAUACUGGGGAGGAAUCUUGCCAAUGCAACACCAUCCCUUCUCCUUGUGAUCUCUGGUGCUUCAUUUAGAUGCCAUUAAAUUGCCUCAUUGCUGCCCUAUAAAAGGUCUCCCCACCUGCUAGUUUUUCAGAUCACUGACUUCUUCCAGUCUUGCUCCUAUCAGCAAAGAGGAUUUUGCAAAGCCACAGAACAAUGUGUGACCAGCAGAAGCAGCCACAGUUCCCUCCAUCUUGUGUGAAAGCUACUGCUGUCUGGCUCCCCGGACCUUCGGGGUGAGUCCCCUGAGACGCUGGAUUCAGCGGCCCCAGAACUGCAACACAGGAUCAUCUGGCUGCUGUGAGAAUUCGGGAAGCUCUGGAUGCUGUGGUUCUGGGGGCUGUGGCUGCAGCUGUGGAUGUGGCAGCUCUGGGUGCUGCUGUUUGGGAAUUAUCCCCAUGAGGUCCCGAGGUCCUGCAUGCUGUGACCAUGAGGAUGACUGCUGCUGCUAAACAUACGACAGCUCAACUCCAGAAUGCACUGCCCCGCUACCCCUUCUGGAACAUGCACCAGCUUCUGGCCCCCUCUCUGUUAGUGCCAGUGAUGUAGAACCUCAUCACUUUGCCUCUGUGCUUUGCUUCUCUACCAAGGCAGCCUGCCAGAGUUAGUACAGUCCCCAAACUUUGGCAUGAAUAAAGCUCUGAAUGCAUUUCGUGGUAAUUUCUGUCUGUUUGUUUGGUCCAUAUUUAUGCUUUUCUAUCAGGCACUCUUCUGCAUCCCUCUCUUCUUACUCUUGUUUCUCAGCUAGAGGAAAGAUCUGCACGAACAUGAAC
rnacentral:lncRNA from 1 species